rnacentral:rRNA from 1 species
AUUGAACGCUGGCGGCAUGCCUUACACAUGCAAGUCGAACGGUAACAGGUCUUCGGAUGCUGACGAGUGGCGAACGGGUGAGUAAUACAUCGGAACGUGCCCGAUCGUGGGGGAUAACGGAGCGAAAGCUUUGCUAAUACCGCAUACGAUCUACGGAUGAAAGCAGGGGACCGCAAGGCCUUGCGCGGACGGAGCGGCCGAUGGCAGAUUAGGUAGUUGGUGGGAUAAAAGCUUACCAAGCCGACGAUCUGUAGCUGGUCUGAGAGGACGACCAGCCACACUGGGACUGAGACACGGCCCAGACUCCUACGGGAGGCAGCAGUGGGGAAUUUUGGACAAUGGGCGAAAGCCUGAUCCAGCCAUGCCGCGUGCAGGAUGAAGGCCUUCGGGUUGUAAACUGCUUUUGGACGGAACGAAAAGACUCUUUCUAAUAAAGAGGGUCCAUGACGGUACCGUAAGAAUAAGCACCGGCUAACUACGUG